CAAAUUCUUAUUUUCAAUGACGGCCUGGGAACAGUGGGUUAACUGCCUGUUCAGGGGCAGAACGACAGAUUUGUACCUUGUCAGCUCGGGGGUUUGAACUCGCAACCUUCCGGUUACUAGUCCAACGCUCUAACCACUAGGCUACCCUGCCGGAUCCGAGUGAUGGAAGCACCAGAAAAGCUACUUUAUUAACCAGAGCUGAUAAAGCUGAGGGAGAGGAGGCAGAGCGAGGUGACGCUGUAGCAGGGAUUGAGGGAGAGGAGGCAGAGGUGACGCUCUAGCAGGGGCUGAGGGAGAGGAGGCAGAGGUGACGCUCUAGUAGGGGCUGAGGGAGAGGAGGCAGAGCGAGGUGACGCUGUAGCAGGGGCUGAGGGAGAGGAGGCAGAGCGAGGUGACGCUGUAGCAGGGACUGAGGGAGACGAGGCAGAGCGAGGUGACGGUUUGCAGGGGCUGAGGGAGAGGAGGCAGAGCGAAGU
rnacentral:lncRNA from 13 species